AGCAGCCGCGGUAAUUCCAGCUCCAAUAGCGUAUAUUAAAGUUGUUGCAGUUAAAAAGCUCGUAGUUGAAUUUCGGGAUCGACGGGUCGGUCGCGCCUCCGGUGUGUACUGGCCCUGUCGGUUUCUCCCUUCUGACGAACUGCGAUGUCAUUAAUUUGGUGUCGUAGGGAAUCAGGACUGUUACUUUGAAAAAUUAGAGUGUUUAAAGCAGGCAUACGCUUGAAUACAUUAGCAUGGAAUAAUGAAAUAGGACGUUCGAUUCUAUUUUGUUGGUUUCUAGGAUCGACGUAAUGAUUAAUAGGGAUAGUUGGGGGCAUUAGUAUUCAAUUGUCAGAGGUGAAAUUCUUGGAUUUAUUGAAGACUAACUACUGCGAAAGCAUUUGCCAAGGAUGUUUUCAUUAAUCAAGAACGAAAGUUAGGGGAUCGAAGACGAUCAGAUACCGUCGUAGU
rnacentral:rRNA from 1 species